rnacentral:rRNA from 1 species
GAUGAACGCUGGCGGCGUGCUUAACACAUGCAAGUCGAACGGACCUUCUGAUCUUUUGGUUGGUUGGUUAGUGGCGAACGGGUGAGUAACACGUGAGUAACCUGCCCUUCUCUUCGGGAUAACUGUCGGAAACGGUGGCUAAUACCGGAUAUUCAUAUGCUGUCGCAUGGUGGUGUGUGGAAAGAUUUUUUGGUGGGGGAUGGACUCGCGGCCUAUCAGCUUGUUGGUGAGGUAGUGGCUUACCAAGGCUUUGACGGGUAGCCGGCCUGAGAGGGCGACCGGACACACUGGGACUGAGAUACGGCCCAGACUCCUACGGGAGGCAGCAGUGGGGAAUAUUGCACAAUGGGCGGAAGCCUGAUGCAGCGACGCCGUGUGCGGGAUGACGGCCUUCGGGUUGUAAAGCUCUUUUGUCCGGGAAGAUAAUGACUGUACCGGAAGAAUAAGCCCCGGCAAACUUCGUGCCAGCAGCCGCGGUAA